rnacentral:rRNA from 1 species
UACGAAGGGGGCUAGCGUUGCUCGGAAUCACUGGGCGUAAAGCGCACGUAGGCGGCUUUUUAAGUCAGGGGUGAAAUCCUGGAGCUCAACUCCAGAACUGCCUUUGAUACUGAGAAGCUAGAGUCCGGGAGAGGUGAGUGGAACUGCGAGUGUAGAGGUGAAAUUCGUAGAUAUUCGCAAGAACGCCGGUGGUGAAGACGCGCGGCUGGACCUUUUCUGACGCUGAUGCACGAAAGCCAGGGGAGCAAACGGG